rnacentral:SRP_RNA from 1 species
ACUGGGUGUGGUGGUCCAUGCCUGUAGUCCCGGCUACUCAGGGGGCUGAGGCAGGAGGAUUGCUUGAGCCCAGGAGUUCAAGGCUGCAGUGAGCUAUGAUUGCACCACUGCACUCCAGCCUGGGCAACAGAGCAAGACCCUGUCUUUG